CGCAGAACGUUAGGAAAUUAAAAAGGAGGAAGAAACGGGUCCGACUCCAGCCCUCGUCGGUGCAUCCCAAACGACGCGCAGGGUAUUCAUAAGAAUGGAAGCGGUGUUUCCUUGCCAGAUUCCUCAUUGCUGUAUCUCAUGAACCUACCUAGUCUUGGGGAAGAGACUUUAUUUAAUGAUGACAAACCUGUUACCCGUGUAGCACCAGCAGUGAGAGGACAAAAACAAAUAGAAAUAACACAUUUAAAUUAUAUUCAACAAGGAAGUCAUUUCAGUCAACAACUUCUGCUGCAUUAUUUUUCCAAGAUGAACUGCUACACAACCAUGAGACAGUGGGGGAUGGCACCUACGGGAGUGUGCUUAUGGGCAAGAGUAACGAGUCUGGGGAGCUUGUGGCCAUCAAAAGGAUGAAGAGAAAGUUCUAUUCUUGGGACGAAUGUUUGAACUUGAGAGAAGUUAAGUCUCUGAAGAAACUUAAUCAUGCCAAUGUGAUUAAACUGAAAGAUGUUAUCAGAGAAAAUGACCAUCUUUAUUUUAUAUUUGAAUAUAUAAAAGAAAACCUCUAUCAAUUAAUGAAAGACAGAGUGCUGACAACAUCCUAGUGACUUCUGAGCAACCGAGAUGCGAGCUGCGAAGGGUUGAAAGCUUCAUCCUUGGCCCGGACUUGGAGUUGAGGACAGUGGGCCAGGCUGGGCGGGUUGGGGAGACAUGGCCAUCAGGUCCCUGUGCCGUCAUCUCAGCAGCUAGAGAUUGACACCUUGGGAAGUGUACCCACAUGGGAAGAACCGACCCAUCAAUCAAAGACCCACUGAGCACUCUUGGGUGUGAGAACCUGGAUAUAACAUGAAGACCAUGUCUCAGCCUUGUCCUAGAAGAGCGUGUUGGUAAGAAUCUAGAACUGGGACUCUGAUGAAGGGUUGGUGUUAACUAUGGAUCUGUACUUGUUUUUUUUCUUUUCCUUGGUGGCUGGCAUUAGUUAUAAGGUGGCACUCUUACCAAUUGAGCCAACCAGCCACCCCUGGAUGUGUAACUGGAGGAAAAGCUAUCUAUGGAAAUCAAUUGCAACUUGAGUCUGAAACCAGUAGAUUAGUGGAUGAGGGUAAAGAACAGGUGACACAUGAGUUAUUUAACCAGAAAUUCAAGCAGAGACUGAGGUUGGGGCAUAGCAGACAAGCCUCAGAGAGCUGACCCUUAGUGCAAAGGUCCAGACUGGUGAUGGUCAGCUCUAGUAAGGGCAGGCAGGAGGCAACAGGUAACCAUACACAGGAGGUGGGAGUUGAGGGGAGGGAAAUUUAGCCCUUCGGUUCUGGGCCAGGGCAUAGUCAAUGGAACCGAGUCUUAGGUUAUGGGGAACAAGGUAUGACUUUAAAGAGCAAAAGCUGGAGCCCAGUCUCAGAGAGGAGAAAGUUCAAGUUUAGAGUGGGAGUCCAGUAGCAAGAUUACGUUAAAGAAGAUCUCUGGCCUAUGACUGAGGGCUGCUCACAGUUCACCUGAGGAUAAUGUAAUUCCUUAUUCUAUAGCGGGAUGAGACUCUACUUGGGAGUUGAGUAUCUGGAGUUCCUACGGUUGGCAAGAUAUAGGGAGCCUAACAGCUCUUCAUGGAAGAGCUGUGUCUCAUCAGCACAUAUCUGUCCAGACAUGCAUGUUGGGUCUCAGCAAGCUGGCCAAGAGCUUUGACUUUAGAGAAGGGAGAAAUUGUUUCAGGCUGGCAUAAUUGGUAAAGGUUUUUUGGAAGAGAUGAGAGCCAGACUCAGGAGUUCCCAUCUCCUCCCUGGUUCUCAAGGAUGGAGCGAGCCAGAUGGCAGCUCCUGAAAGCACCUUCAACACUUGGCAUCAGCAUUAAAUUAACUAAAUUCCCCUUUCAAAGACUUGCUUUCCUUAUUCGUGAAAUCAGAGUUUGUAAUGAUGUUUAAGAUCACUUUCUCAUCCUACGUCUGUGACAUGUCAUCAUUGCCUGGUGUCAGUAUGCUUGAAAAUGUCACUCACAAUCUUUUGUAAUUCCUGGUUUAAUAUCUGUUUUUGCAGAUCUCUGAGGGCAGUAAAUUUGUCUCUCUUUUUCAUGGCAUAUAUAUGCCAGAGAAACUGUCAUA